GGGUCUAAGAAGGCAGCGCAUGCUCCUUCUUAGAGGAGUUGUCGGUGGUCGGGCCGCCAUCC
rnacentral:ncRNA from 2 species